rnacentral:rRNA from 1 species
AGUGGCGGACGGGUGAGUAACGCGUAAGAAUCUAACUUCAGGACGGGGACAACAGUGGGAAACGACUGCUAAUACCCGAUGUGCCGCGAGGUGAAACCUAAUUGGCCUGAAGAAGAGCUUGCGUCUGAUUAGCUAGUUGGUGGGGUAAGAGCCUACCAAGGCGACGAUCAGUAGCUGGUCUGAGAGGAUGAGCAGCCACACUGGGACUGAGACACGGCCCAGACUCCUACGGGAGGCAGCAGUGGGGAAUUUUCCGCAAUGGGCGAAAGCCUGACGGAGCAACGCCGCGUGAGGGAGGAAGGUCUUUGGAUUGUAAACCUCUUUUCUCAAGGAAGAAGUUCUGACGGUACUUGAGGAAUCAGCCUCGGCUUACUCCGUGCCAGCAGCCGCGGUAAUACGGGGGAGGCAAGCGUUAUCCGGAAUUAUUGGGCGUAAAGCGUCCGCAGGUGGUCAGCCAAGUCUGCCGUCAAAUCAGGUUGCUUAACGACCUAAAGGCGGUGGAAACUGGCAGACUAGAGAGCAGUAGGGGUAGCAGGAAUUCCCAGUGUAGCGGUGAAAUGCGUAGAGAUUGGGAAGAACAUCGGUGGCGAAAGCGUGCUACUGGGCUGUAUCUGACACUCAGGGACGAAAGCUAGGGGAGCGAAAGGGAUUAGAUACCCCUGUAGUCCUAGCCGUAAACGAUGGAUACUAGGCGUGGCUU